rnacentral:rRNA from 1 species
GUAAUGCGUAGGAAGCUACCCGAUAGAGGGGGAUACCAGUUGGAAACGACUGUUAAUACCGCAUAAUGUCUACGGACCAAAGUGUGGGACCUUCGGGCCACAUGCUAUCGGAUGCGCCUACGUGGGAUUAGCUAGUUGGUGAGGUAAUGGCUCACCAAGGCGACGAUCUCUAGCUGGUUUGAGAGGAUGAUCAGCCACACUGGAACUGAGACACGGUCCAGACUCCUACGGGAGGCAGCAGUGGGGAAUAUUGGACAAUGGGCGCAAGCCUGAUCCAGCCAUGCCGCGUGUGUGAAGAAGGCCUUCGGGUUGUAAAGCACUUUCAGCGAGGAGGAAGGGGUUGUAGUUAAUAGCUGCAACCUUUGACGUUACUCGCAGAAGAAGCACCGGCUAACUCUGUGCCAGCAGCCGCGGUAAUACAGAGGGUGCAAGCGUUAAUCGGAAUUACUGGGCGUAAAGCGCACGCAGGCGGUUGGUUAAGUCAGAUGUGAAAGCCCCGGGCUCAACCUGGGAAUUGCAUUUGAAACUGGCCAACUAGAGUAUGUGAGAGGGGGGUAGAAUUCCAAGUGUAGCGGUGAAAUGCGUAGAGAUUUGGAGGAAUACCAGUGGCGAAGGCGGCCCCCUGGCACAAUACUGACGCUCAGGUG